UCCUCUCUGACGAGCUGGUCCUCAGUCUGUUCGGAUGAAGCAGCUCAGGGAACCGCGCUCUCACCUCAGCCCAUUACAAGCUUCUGGACUUGACAGAGCUCACAAAUUUCACAUUGACUUCUUCCCGCACUUGUCCCAUUACGUCACCGCACCACAAACCCUCCUCCUCCUCUCAGGACCUGUUCAAAUCUCUUCACUUCCAGUUCUGCUGCACGGGGCGUCGACCCGAAACGUGAACUCUUUUCAUGCUCGUGCCCGCGACGCGGAAGCCGCGGGCCCGAGCGAGGGCAGCCAACACCAGCCUCAGCCUACUCGCACCACCAAGUGCUACUAGAAUGUCCUGCCGCACAUUGUGAUCUUCUCUCCUGAGGCGGGUCCUGAGACAUAGGAGAGGUGCUCCUUGCUGAUGAUUAAGAACAUGAUAACUCUUAAUACAAAAUGGAACUUCAAAGCACAAUUAAUCACAUCCGGUGGCUUGCAAACAUUUUUCUGAUGAGAGUGAGAGGGAGGGUUAGCCUCAGAAGAAAAAACAAUGUAAUUUUACAAUAUAUUGGACAAAUAAUAUUAAAGAUGCA